rnacentral:lncRNA from 1 species
UUGCGGAAACAAAAGUAAAUAAAUUGCAACAAGAUAUUUUUGGUUUAUAGAUCUGAAAAUAUAAUAUGGAAAAUAGACCCGGGGGCCAUAGGUUUCACUAUAGGCUUCUCUCAUAAAGGAAAAUAAUACGGUGGGUGAAAAAAUUAUUGUCGAGCAAUUGAUAGAAAAGCGAAUAAUUAUGAAGAUAUCCAAGGAAAUGAUUAUGCAUAUAGGCAUCACAUCCGUGUCAAGUAGACCGAAACGAUUCUACAUCUACUACUAUUACCCCACACAUCGAUUGACUCCUGC